GGGGCGGUAGCUCAGUGGGAGAGUGGAAGAUUGCAAUUAUGUGGUUCUAAUUGGCUGCAGCUUCACAUUGCAAGCUAUCUUUAGGUCGCCGGUUCGAUCCCGGCCCGUCCCU